AUUGAACGCUGGCGGCAUGCUUUACACAUGCAAGUCGAAUGGUAACAGGCCGCAAGGUGCUGACGAGUGGCGAACGGGUGAGUAAUGCAUCGGAACGUGCCCAGUCGUGGGGGAUAACUACUCGAAAGAGUAGCUAAUACCGCAUACGAUCUAUGGAUGAAAGCGGGGGACCGUAAGGCCUCGCGCGAUUGGAGCGGCCGAUGUCAGAUUAGGUAGUUGGUGGGGUAAAGGCUCACCAAGCCAACGAUCUGUAGCUGGUCUGAGAGGACGACCAGCCACACUGGGACUGAGACACGGCCCAGACUCCUACGGGAGGCAGCAGUGGGGAAUUUUGGACAAUGGGCGCAAGCCUGAUCCAGCAAUGCCGCGUGCAGGAAGAAGGCCUUCGGGUUGUAAACUGCUUUUGUACGGAACGAAACGGCUCUGGUUAAUACCCGGGGCUAAUGACGGUACCGUAAGAAUAAGCACCGGCUAACUACGUGC
rnacentral:rRNA from 1 species